rnacentral:rRNA from 1 species
AGAUUGAACGCUGGCGGCAGGCCUAACACAUGCAAGUCGAGCGGUAGAGAGGUGCUUGCACCUCUUGAGAGCGGCGGACGGGUGAGUAAUGCCUAGGAAUCUGCCUAGUGGUGGGGGAUAACGUUCGGAAACGGACGCUAAUACCGCAUACGUCCUACGGGAGAAAGCGGGGGACCUUCGGGCCUCGCGCCAUUAGAUGAGCCUAGGUCGGAUUAGCUAGUUGGUGAGGUAAUGGCUCACCAAGGCGACGAUCCGUAACUGGUCUGAGAGGAUGAUCAGUCACACUGGAACUGAGACACGGUCCAGACUCCUACGGGAGGCAGCAGUGGGAAUAUUGGACAAUGGGCGAAAGCCUGAUCCAGCCAUGCCGCGUGUGUGAAGAAGGUCUUCGGAUUGUAAAGCACUUUAAGUUGGAGAAGGUUGUAACUUAAUACGUUGCAACUUUGACGUUACCGACAGAAUAAGCACGACUAACUUCGCGCCAGCAGCCG